rnacentral:rRNA from 1 species
UACGUAGGGUGCAAGCGUUGUCCGGAAUUAUUGGGCGUAAAGAGCUCGUAGGCGGUUUGUCGCGUCUGCUGUGAAAACCCGAGGCUCAACCUCGGGCCUGCAGUGGGUACGGGCAGACUAGAGUGCGGUAGGGGAGAUUGGAAUUCCUGGUGUAGCGGUGGAAUGCGCAGACAUCAGGAGGAACACCAAUGGCGAAGGCAGAUCUCUGGGCCGUAACUGACGCUGAGGAGCGAAAGCAUGGGGAGCGAACAGG